CCUACGGGAGGCAGCAGUGGGGAAUAUUGGACAAUGGGCGAAAGCCUGAUCCAGCCAUGCCGCGUGUGUGAAGAAGGCCUUCGGGUUGUAAAGCACUUUCAGUGGGGAAGAAAGCCUUGGGGCUAAUACCCUCGAGGAAGGACAUCACCCACAGAAGAAGCACCGGCUAACUCCGUGCCAGCAGCCGCGGUAAUACGGAGGGUGCGAGCGUUAAUCGGAAUUACUGGGCGUAAAGCGCGCGUAGGCGGUCUGAUAAGCCGGUUGGGAAAGCCCCGGGCUCAACCUGGGAACGGCAUCCGGAACUGUCAGGCUAGAGUGCAGGAGAGGAAGGUAGAAUUCCCGGUGUAGCGGUGAAAUGCGUAGAGAUCGGGAGGAAUACCAGUGGCGAAGGCGGCCUUCUGGACUGACACUGACGCUGAGGUGCGAAAGCGUGGGUAGCAAACAGGAUUAGAUACCCUGGUAGUC
rnacentral:rRNA from 1 species